AAAUUAACCGUGAAUUGCACUAAUUAACCCUCAGAUUUUCCUAAAGUUUUCAAAUUGGAUGAAUUGCAUACGACAACCCAAAGCAUUCCUCACAAGUUCCCUGCAUGAAUUGCAUAACAAAGAUACAAGCAAAGAUCAUUAAGUUCUAUGAAAAUCAUAAGCAUUGGCGAGGCACUCGUUACUAUGAAUUGCAUGAUACUUAUGCCAAGAAUUUACUUAAAUCGAUUGUGAUCAACAACCUUUACUACUUUUGAAUAUAAGUUCAUAACGAUUAGGUGAAAUUCCCUUAUAUCCUAGCAUCAAACUUAUGCAUGAAAAUUAAGCGUGCACUCUCAACCAACACACACAAAUCAGUUUUUAAAUUCAUGCAGAAAAGUAAAUUGAAUUCACAACUUAUGAAACGCAAUUGAAAGUAAUCAAAUUAUAUAGCAAGCAUAAACAUGGUUUCGAAUCCCCCCUAGCCAAGGGGGGGGGGGUUUAGUUCCUCAUACGUACAAAACAAAGAGUAUAGAAUUUAAACAUUGAAAUCAAAAGAAAGAAAACCCCUAAACGCUCCAACAAUCCUAACUUGAAUGGCAUGUACGUCCA
rnacentral:lncRNA from 1 species